GAUGAAGAACGUAGCGAAAUGCGAUACUUGGUGUGAAUUGCAGAAUCCCGUGAACCAUCGAGUCUUUGAACGCAAGUUGCGCCUCAAGCCAUUAGGUUGAGGGCACGUCUGCCUGGGCGUCACAUAUCGUCGCCUGAUGCCAGUUUCCUCGUGAUGGGUGACUGUGCAGGGCGAAUGAUGGCUUCCCGUGAGCAUUGUUGCCUCAUGGUUGGUUGAAAAUUGAGUCCUUGGUAGGGAGCGCCGUGAUAGAUGGUGGUUGAGUGACGAACGAGACCCAAUCAUGUGAGACCCCUACCGAAUUUGGCCUUCAUGACCCACAUGCGUCUUUGGAACGCUCAUGACGAGACCUCAGGUCAGGCGGGGCUACCCGCUGAGUUUAAGCAUAUCAAUAAGCGGAGGA
rnacentral:misc_RNA from 1 species